UUAAUUACAUUCUAACAUUAUUGAUAGAUCUGUUAGCUAUUCAUAUAUGUUAAUAGAUAAACUGAAUGAACAGUGUUAAACACUGCUCAUUGGAGGAUUUAGGCGGUGAUGAGUCAUCAUCACAUAAACACCUGCCCUAAUUUACCACCAUCGAGUCAUCCAUGAAACCCAAGUCAUACAUAUCUUGAUUGGUUCACAAGGGCGGUGCCUUCAACCCUCCAGUCCAUAUUUAAGGUGGUGAGAAAGAGGUGUCGAUUGAUGAUGGUGGAACGGUUAACGGAGGAGCACCGCCGCCCCUUCCGUCCAUCUUGUCUGAUCGACGCCUAUCCCGUCUUCAAUCUCCUCGGCUGAGCGCCUGUUUAGUGAACACCCGUCGUUGCCGGCGGCCAUUUGAGUCUGAUUCUGGCAGCAACGGCUAUUCCGAUGGAGACCUAUUGUUGCCGGCGGCCAUUUGAGUCUGUUUCUAGCGGCGACGGCCUUCAGAUUUCUCCAUGGUAACCUCUUUUUAUCUCCAUUCUUGAGUUUUAUACUUUUAGAGCUUUUGGUAUAAUGCAUGACUUCUCUAAUUUGAGAACUCUUUGGAUCUGUAAAGCCUAAAGAAUUUCUGGUGUUAAACCCUAAGUCUACUAUGAAUUUCUAGGGGUGGAGUUUCAUUGUUGAUAUCCAGUAAUCUUGAUUAUUGGGUUCUGAAAUAUGAAAUCCGGUGAUCAUGAAGUUGUAAAGGUGGAAUCUUUGCAUGUUAGGAGGUCUUUGUUCCUGAAUGGGGUCUUUGAUUUGUGUUGUAGUCUUUGUAUCUGAAUGGGGAAUUUGAUUGUACCACCGUAUCGAAACCGUAAGUUAGUCUUUGUUUUUGCAACCUCCGUUGCAGCCAUUAUCAACCAAUUGAACUUCACCCGGCCUGUUGGAAUUAAGGGUAUAUGGAACUGAAAGUUAUAUUUGGUCGUUGCGUACCGAGUUCGUUUGCUGGCUAUGAUGACUUUGGUAAAAAAAAAAAAAAGUUGAGGUUUGAUGUUGCAUAGCAAGGAUGGCGAGUGCAGUGUUUGCUACUAGCAACCUGUUAUACAGCUAUGACAACCUCAAUACCUAUUCUGAGCCGUCUAUUACAAGUCAUUUAAAAACCAAAAGGAGUUCCAGUCCCAUAAACGACCUCAUUAAAAUGAGUGAAUCAUUUCCGUUUGAAUGGAUCAGUAAAAAUGGAAAGAAGGGUUUCAUGUAACUUCAGUGACUACAGCUAGCAGUCGUUGGGGUGUUGUGAUGUCAACAAACGCAAGAAUUUUUUACCAGGUAUUGUUAUGUGCUUUUAAUCUUUUAUCGAGCAUAUAAAAGUUAUAGCAUAAUGUUAAAUUUGCAAAUUUGAAUGCAUAUUGUUAAUAUUUUGGUAAGUAACAACAGUGCAUUUGAGUGCAAAGUAAAUUAUGACGAAGAAGAUUAUUAAGGAAGGUGAUGGGUAUGAAGCACCUGUUAAUGGUGAUCAAGUUGAAGGUAAUUUUAUAUUUUUUAACUCGGACUCUUCAUGAGUUGAGCUCGAGUCAGGUGAGCUCAAGCAUGGUUCGAAUUUUCAACCAAGCUGGCUUGAUUCAACCUGGCUUGAAUUUUAAACUGAAUUAACUAUUUGAACUGGCCUCGGCUACUUGCAGACCGGUCACGUGGUCGUGCGGUGACAGGUGACAGAAUCAACCUUCAAUAUCACUGUUCUUACUUCUUUGGUAUGGAUCUUUAUUGUUGUACAUGGAUUAUAAUGUGGAGAAUGAAAUACGACAAGGAGUGGAGAAGUAUUUCAUUGUGAAUUACAUCACACUUGACAUCUUGCGUGCUUUUUUUCACUAUGUUUUUUAAUUAAAUAUGGAUAAUGAAUUGUGAUCCCUAUGGGUCGAGUGGAAAAUAUGAGAACAUAGUCUUGCGUUGACAACAAUUUCAUUGUUCUUGUAGACCACCAGGGACACGUCUUGCAUCGCUUAAACAAAUUUACUACUAGACACGAGUAGUUGUUGACCCGUGAUUUUUCCGCCGCAACGCGCGACGGUCCUGGUUGUUCGUCAGUUGUAGAAAGGGCAUUUAUGAACCAGUGUCCAUUUGGUGGAGAGUGAUUAUAGCUGGAAAACGGGUUGGAUCCGCAAUUUAGUUUUGGGAUUAUUUCGAGAAGAUAUUUUCAAGAGAAUGACACUGCUUGGACGCGCUUUUAGUGUUACCUGAGGCAUGUGACUUUCAUUUCUAUAGCUAUUGACACAGGUCACAACUUAUGCUGGUAUUGCAUGGCUUUUUUUUAUCAAUGACAGCCUGUAAUUGUCAGGAAAUCGUUUUAGUGUGAUUCACGUGUAUGACCCGUUGGCCGUUACCAUCCCGUCCAUUAGUAUGUCAUAUAAGAUUACCAAAAAUGUUUAUCUUUUCAUUUAUAAACAAACGAUUCUGGAGAUCUUAUGCCUUCAAAAUGGACUUUUGGGCGAAUUUCAACCUAUUUUAUUCAUAACUAACUUUUGCCAUAAUUUACCAGUAAUCAAGGUGAAUAAUUUAAUUUAAUUGUCUAUUAUAUAUAAUUUACAUGUUUAUUCCUUCUGAGUACGACUCCCAUACAAUUCUUCGGAGAGCUGGAGUAGCGUAUAUAAAGGGGUGAUAGAAAGCAAACCUAAACGAUGCUUAAAAUAUCUGCAAAAAAUAUGCUUUCACAAUCGAACAUAAUAGAAAAAAUGUUGAGGCAACCUGCUGUUUAAAACCAUCAUAGAAAUGAAUAAUGGAAUCAAGAGAACUGGAGGAGAUUAAAGGCGAAGCGUACAGGUGCUAGAGGAGAUUAAAAGCGAAGCGUACUGAUGCUAUAGGGGAUUAAAGGCGAAGCGUACGAGUGCUAGAAGAGAAGAUGAAAGGUGAAGAGUACGGAUGGGCAAAUAGUAGAAGUCAAGUUUGGGGACUGAAUCAAGAGAACUGGAGCAAUUUCACAGGCCUGGACUUUGGCUAAUGCACCUGGGUUUCUUUUUAUUCUGCUAUAUGGUAUAUUUUUUUUGUUUGGUUUCAUCCUUUAAACCUUUCACCUUUUUGCAGCACUUCGAAAGAAAAUAAAAAGACUUGAUAAGGAUUGUUUUGCUCAUUUUUGAACUUAUUUCGUUUUUUCAUUGGGGAACUUCAUAAGUUAGAGAAUUUGAUUAAAAUGAUGGUUAGUUUACUAUGUGUUCUAAGCGUUUUGCACUUCCAGAUGAGGUUGUUGGGUCGAAGAUCGCACGUAAUGGUUAGAAGAUAUAAUAUGUGGCGGCAGCGGUCAGGUUAUGAGAUCUAAGAGGAAAAGGAGAUUAACGAAGAAGAAAGAAAGAAAAAACGAAAGGAUAAGAAGGUAUACCGAACACAGACAAGCCGCAAGUUCUGAUCGUCUUCUCCGAUCGUCCGGCAGGUCUUGAUCUUUUCGGUGGAUUAGUUUGGAGCCCCGGUGAAACGUACGGGUGAAACAGAGGUUUGCGGUGUCGUCUUCGAUGCGUUUCGAUGUCCGGCGAAGGUUCAACAGUGAGAGAGAGAGAGAGAGAGAGAGAGAGAGUUGCGGCUUCUUUGAAAGAAGGAUAUGUUUGGUAUUCCGGCGACUGGAGGUGCUCUCCGGCAAGGUUGAACGAAGAGGUGUUUUGAAGGUGUGAGGGUGUCAAAAAUAGGUUGUAUGAGUUUGUGGGGCUUGUUAGAUGUUGUUUAUGGAAACGAACUAUGAUAUGGAAACGCGGAAAUAACGUCAAAUCCCGAGAAAUCAGCGAAGUAAAUAGAUGAGGAAGGAAGACAGCGAGUUAUGUGCUGUUGUUGGGCGGCAAAGAUGAAAAGGCUUUGCUCUCUUAUUGGCUUGAUUAUAAUUAGUUUAUUAUUUUUUCUUAA